UACGUAGGGUGCAAGCGUUAAUCGGAAUUACUGGGCGUAAAGCGUGCGCAGGCGGUUAUAUAAGACAGAUGUGAAACCCCCGGGCUCAACCUGGGAACUGCAUUUGUGACUGUAUAGCUAGAGUACGGUAGAGGGGGAUGGAAUUCCGCGUGUAGCAGUGAAAUGCGUAGAUAUGCGGAGGAACACCGAUGGCGAAGGCAAUCCCCUGGACCUGUACUGACGCUCAUGCACGAAAGCGUGGGGAGCAAACAGG
rnacentral:rRNA from 1 species